GAGGUAGGGACAGUCACUGAGUUUUAGCAUGAAGACAGUCAGGUGAAAGUUCUUGCAACGCUUUGCUGUCCACUGGGGACAUGAGCUUCAGAGCAAACUGUCCUGUUCCACUGGCUUUUGAAAUUAUUGUGUUGCUUUUCAAACUUUAAUGUGAAGUGAAUCACCUAACGGUCUCAUGAAAAUGCUGAUUCUGAGGAGCGUCCUGAGAUUCUGCGUUUCUAACAAGCUCCCAGGUGAUGGCGCUGUUGCUGGUCCACGGACAAUGAGUCGCAAGACACUAUUUCACCAUCACGGCGAGAACUGGAGAGAGCUUUGUGAAGAGGGAUCCACGCUAACCUGAAUUAAAGAAGCAAAAGUCUCAUUAAUAAAGAUUUUGAUCCCUAAGAUAAGAAAAAAAGACAUUUAUAUCUAGAAUCUCAUAUCUUUCCUUUUUGGUAAGUGAGUGUAGGAGGUACUUGGAAAUAGUCAAUUAACUCAUAAUUUAGAUAUGCUAAAGUUGUUUGCCCAGUGUAAAUUUCAUUUUUUUCUAUACAUUUGAAUCAGAUUCUAUUACAAAAUUUAAUUUUUUUUUUUUUUUUUGCUUUUAACAGUGGAGUUACUUUAGUGUGAAGAAAGAAAUUAGCCAUUGUAUGAUAAGUGAGGUUAUUUGGAAGAGAAUAUGACUAGCUGUCUACCUUGCUUCUUUCCUAUCUGCUGAAGAGGCAAAAAAAAAAAAAAAAAAAAAAAAAAAGAGGUACACACAGUUCCAUGGGCAGCCAAUAAAUAAGAUUGUGUUUGGGAAGAGGUACAACAGAAUCCCCCACUGCACACAGUUGCUCCUACUCUAGGUGUCUGCUGUCACAAACACAGAGGCUGACGACUCGAUUUACUGUGGUAACUUGUAUUUAUAAAUCCACGGAAACUCAGAAGACAACAGCCAGCAUUUACUAAGUCUGAGCUAGGCGCCAGUUGGGGGUCCCGAUCCAAAUGGAGCAAACAAUCUGGUCAGGAAGAUAACAUAAGGAAAAUUAAGCAUUAAAUUAAAACGUAAACUGUAAUUUUACAUAAUUUCACAAACUGCCAGGAGUUUACGGGAAUUAAACGGCGUUUUUAUGGGAAGAAGACAUUAACUUAGAUGGAGAAGGUCAAGGAAGGUUUUCUGAAAGGCAGGAUUUGAAUUGGAAUUUGAAGAAAGGUUAGGUGAGGAGAGAUGGGAACAAGAUGGAUGAGUGUAUCAGGACGGACAAAACAGUUGUGUGCAUACAAGAGAACAUAAGUGUUUGGGAGCUUAUGAGCAGAACCGUUUGCUGGAGUGAUUUAUUUAUUUAACGGAAACAUGGUAGAGGGAGAAAUGGUGGGAAAACAAAGUCGGGAUUAGAUUAAGAAAGGUCUGAAUGUUAGGCUAAGAAGAUUGGACUUGAUUCUGUAAAUAAUAAUAAUAAUAAUAGGGGACCAUUGGAUGUUUUGAGUAGAAGAGUGCAUUUUAACAGAAGUAUUUUAAUAGACUAAUUUCAAUAGUCCAAGUGCAAGGGAUAAGGGACAGAAUUAGGACUGUGGUGAAGGGAAUUGAAUAUGUGAGCUAGAGGGUUGAGCUAAAGGAAUCAGAAACUUUAAUGAUAUUAUAGUUAAUGGGUGGGCAGUAACCUUGAGGCUUGAGGUUAGUAGAAUAGAAAAUGAACAGUUUGGGGGGAAAUAAAUUAAAUUUGAGAUAUUUUAAGUUUUAAGUAAUAGUAGGACGGACACCUGGAAGAAUCCAGUAGACAACUGGAAGUGUGACAGUGUGACCCUGCCUAGAGGUAGUCAUGCCUGGAGCCUUGGGUGUGAAAGACUCUGCUAGGGAACCGCGCAGAGACAGAACCUUGGGCAGUGCCCCUUUGGGCAGCCUGGGUGGGGAAAGAGCAGUAAGAAGGAAGAGGAACCCAGAGUGUGACAGCCUUGAAGGGAAGAGGGAGCGUCAGGCCAGGGGCUGCGGCCACAGCAUUGAACGCUGCAGAGAAACCAGACCAUCUGAUCAAGGGAAGGUUCUUCAAGGCUCCUGGCACCUUUCCCAGCGUGGACAACAUGGAGGGAGGGGUGGAAACCAGGUGACUGACGAGACUGAGGGGUGAGCAAGUCACAACAAAGGUAGAAUUUGUGGACAUUUCCUUAGACAAAAGAAAAAAUAGGAUGGAAACUGAAGGAGAAAGGAAGAGCAAGUGCUUUUGUUGAUUUUCAAUUUAUUAUAGUGGCGACACAGCUUUCUUUGUUUUUUGAUUAAGGGGGAAAAAUGAGAGAAAAAUUGAUGGUAUCUAAAAACUGCAGACGGACGGGAAUUUGAGUUGUUAAAAUCCUGAAGGAGUCAGGCCCUCUGGGAAAGGGGUGAGCCUUGGAAAUGAGAAAGGAAAACCCCCCACACCAAAAACAACCCAGAACACCACUGCCUCCACAUAUCUGGAAGAAGAGGGAUGCAGAGAUGCAGUACUCAGGCUCCUGGGGGUCCCACCAGCUCAAUAAAGAAGCAGGUGAGACAGUUUUCAAGCUCUGGGCCUGGAGGUGAAGUGGAAGAAUGGAGAAUGUUGGGACAGGCCAUUGAAUCAGGAAAUUGGCAAAAGGUGAAUAAAGAGCAUUGCUAAACAACAGUUGAGAUGAGCAUGAAUACACCAAGUAAGCACAAACACACACCUAAGGACAGUGGUCGUGACUCAGGGAUGUGGAACCAGCGCAAGAGACUGAGGGACAUGAGGUGAGCGCCAGGAUGCAAGUGCUGAGGGCAACACCCAGGUGGCUGGCAUCAAGUCCACCUAGGGUUAAUACAACUCAAGUGGGAUGAUCCAGACACCAUAGCAUAUCAACAAGAGGAAGAUGAUUAAGAAUGGCGAACAAAAACAACUGAGAGACUAUUUCAACUCUGAGCAUCCCAAUUUAAAAGGCACUUGUUGGGGAUCAAGCAAAGGGCAAUAACGUACUGAGCACCAUGUGCUCAGCACUGGGCUUGGGCAUGUUGGGGAUACACAGAGGCAUGAGGCAGUGUUCCUGCCCUCAGGGAGCUUUUGUGUAGUUGGAGAGAGGACACAGGCAUCUCACAUCCUCUGAGCACAUCCACAUUGUGCAGUAGAGACAGGACUUUAAAGACGGUGAAGAAGAGCUGGUUGGAGCAGAGCCGUUGAGAAGUGGCCAGGGUGGCAGAACAGGAGUCGUCCUCUCUCCUACCUUCUUCACAUCUUCUCUUCUAUUCACAUCCAAGCCACAUAGCUGCACCUCCAAGAGAUUGGAAAUGGAGACAAGAAAAGGGUAACUGUGACUUUCUUAUCAUGUGAGAGAGCCCUGAAAGCUUCACUCCCCUCCCUGCUCAGAAAGAUUUGAAGGCAACACUCAUCUUCCUUCUGUGCCCCAUGUAGGGCAUUUCGCUCAUCAGGGCAAGCUGUGUUGAGAGGAAGAAAUGAGAUCUGUGAGAGGUGAGAAGUCUGGCAUCUUUUUUUAUAAAAAAAAUUUAUUUAUUUGUUUCCCCUCCCCUGUUAUAUUGAGAUACAAUUGACAUAUAACACUGUAUAAGUUUAAAGUGUACAACAUAAUGAUUUGACAUAAGUAUUUAUUGUAAAAUGAUUGCCAGAAGAUUAAACAUUCAUCACCCCACAUAGUUACAAUUUCUUUUGCCCCUUGUGAUGAGAACGUUUAAGAUCUACUCUCUUAGCAACUUUCAAAUAUACAAUACAAUAUUGUUAAAUACUGACAUCACGGAGUCCUUGAUGAGCAGGAAGCAGCCGGGAGCCACGCCGCAGCUCACAGCCACUGAAAGCACGGCUGCCCUUGGAGCAUUCCUAUGGGCUGUGGGGAGGUCUGCUCCUUGAGCGCUCCCUCACUGCUAUCCCCACUCCUGGGGUCUGCCCUGACUUCAGAGCAUGCUGUUCAGAUCAUUCAAGCCUGGGGAGGAACUCUGGACCUGCCACUUACCAGCUAUGUGACCUUGGGCAACUUGCUUAAGACAACUGAGUCUCAUUUCCCCCUCCAAUGGGGUAAUAAUUCUUGUAGGAAAAGUGUGUGGCACUAAGCAACUGC
rnacentral:lncRNA from 1 species